rnacentral:lncRNA from 1 species
GGUUGAACUGUAACAUGAAAGGAAUCCUAGACAUGUUUAGGAAUCAGCUGUCUCAUGAAGGAUAGAACAGACUUGGACGGGUAGGCACUGGAGUGAGGCAAGGAGCAUCCCACUGGGAACAAUGGAAGUGAUCCAGCUGCCCCUACAUUUUUCAUAGGGUCAGCAAGUAUUUAUUGGCCACCUAUUAUGUGUUACUGAGGAAACAAUGAGAGGAUGAAAAGCAGCUAUAUACAGCUGAGGU